UUGGCCUUUUCCAUGGCUUCUAGAGAAAAAUAAUGAGGGGUGUCACGGGGUAUGACUAUAUAGGUCUUGUAGAGAAGAAACAGGCGCAUCUUUUGCGCAAGGUAUCGAAGGGCCCUAUGUUCAAAAAUCUGAAACUAGAGCUCAAAAUUUGAAAAAAAAUUGUUAAAAACAGGGGGGUUGGCCUAUUCCAUGGCUUCUAGAGAAAAAUAAUGAGGGGUGUCACGGGGUAUGACUAUAUAGGUCUUGAAGAGGAGAAACAGGCGCAUCUUUUGCGCAAGGUAUCGAAGGGCGCUAUGUUCAAAAAUCUGAAACUAGAGCUCAAAAUUUGAAAAAAGUUGUUUUAAACAGGGGGGUUGGCCUAUUCCAUGGCUUCUAGAGAAAAAUAAUGAGGGGUGUCACGGGGUAUGACUAUAUAGAUCUUGUAGAGGAGAAACAGGCGCAUCUUUUGCGCAAGGUAUCGAAGGGCGCUAUGUUCAAAAAUCUGAAACUAGAGCUCAAAAUUUGAAAAACAAUUGUUUUAAA